rnacentral:rRNA from 1 species
UGGUGGAGUGAUUUGUCUGGUUAAUUCCGUUAACGAACGAGACCUCGACCUGCUAAAUAGUUCGCGCCAGACUUCGGUCUGGUGACAUUCACGUGACUUCUUAGAGGGACUAUCGGUGUGUAGCCGAUGGAAGUUCGAGGCAAUAACA